GGGAGAUGUCUCCUCCUGUGUCGUCGAAA
rnacentral:misc_RNA from 1 species